rnacentral:rRNA from 1 species
GACGAACGCUGGCGGCGUGCUUAACACAUGCAAGUCGAACGGUGAAGGGACCAGCUUGCUGGUUCUGGAUGAGUGGCGAACGGGUGAGUAACACGUGAGUAACCUGCCCCCUUCUUCUGGAUAACCGCAUGAAAGUGUGGCUAAUACGGGAUAUUCUGGGUCUGUCGCAUGACGGGCCCGGGAAAGAUGCGCCUUUGGGUGUUUUUGGUGGGGGAUGGGCUCGCGGCCUAUCAGCUUGUUGGUGGGGUGAUGGCCUACCAAGGCGGUGACGGGUAGCCGGCCUGAGAGGGUGGACGGUCACACUGGGACUGAGACACGGCCCAGACUCCUACGGGAGGCAGCAGUGGGGAAUAUUGCACAAUGGGCGCAAGCCUGAUGCAGCGACGCCGCGUGAGGGAUGGAGGCCUUCGGGUUGUAAACCUCUUUCGCCAGUGAAGCAGGCCUGCUCCUUGUGGGUGGGUUGGCG